UACGGGGGGGCAAGCGUUGUUCGGAAUUACUGGGCGUAAAGGGCGCGUAGGCGGCCUUCUAAGUCGGACGUGAAAUCCCUCGGCUCAACCGGGGAACUGCGUCCGAUACUGGAGGGCUUGAAUCCGGGAGAGGGAUGUGGAAUUCCAGGUGUAGCGGUGAAAUGCGUAGAUAUCUGGAGGAACACCGGUGGCGAAGGCGGCAUCCUGGACCGGCAUUGACGCUGAGGCGCGAAAGCCAGGGGAGCAAACGGG
rnacentral:rRNA from 1 species